CCAGUACCGUGAGGGAAAGGUGAAAAGAACCCCGGAAGGGGAGUGAAAGAGAACCUGAAACCGUGUGCCUACAAAUAGUCAGAGCCCGUUAAUGGGUGAUGGCGUGCCUUUUGUAGAAUGAACCGGCGAGUUACGAUAUCGUGCGAGGUUAAGCAGAAGAUGCGGAGCCGUAGCGAAAGCGAGUCUGAAUAGGGCGAAGAGUACGAUGUUGUAGACCCGAAACCGUGUGAGCUAGCCAUGAGCAGGCUGAAGGUCAGGUAACACUGACUGGAGGGCCGAACCAGGGCACGUUGAAAAGUGCUUGGAUGACUUGUGGCUAGGGGUGAAAUUCCAAUCGAACACGGAUAUAGCUGGUUCUCUCCGAAAUAGCUUUAGGGCUAGCCUCGAUGGCAAGUCUACUGGAGGUAGAGCACUGAAUGGGUGAUGGCCCCACCUCGGGGUACUGAUCUCAAUCAAACUCCGAAUGCCAGAUAGAUAUCAUCGGGAGUCAGACUGUGGGUGAUAAGGUCCAUGGUCAAAAGGGAAAGAGCCCAGACCGCCAGCUAAGGCCCCCAAGUGUCCGUUAAGUGGAAAAGGAUGUGGAGAUGCACAGACAACUAGGAGGUUGGCUUAGAAGCAGCCAUCCUUUAAAGAGUGCGUAAUAGCUCACUAGUCGAGUGACUCUGCGCCGAAAAUGUACCGGGGCUAAACGGACCGCCGAAGCUGCGGAUUGACACUUAGGUGUCAGUGGUAGGAGAGCGUUCUAACAGCGGAGAAGCAGUACCGGAAGGAGCUGUGGAGCGGUUAGAAGUGAGAAUGCCGGUGUGAGUAGCGAAAGAUAGGUGAGAAUCCUAUCCAUCGAAAGCCUAAGGUUUCCAGGGGAAGGCUCGUCCGCCCUGGGUAAGUCGGGACCUAAGGUGAGGCCGAAAGGCGUAGCCGAUGGACAACAGGUUGAUAUUCCUGUACCACUUAUUAAACUGAUGGAGUGACGGAGAAGGCUAAGUUGAGCGUGUUAAUGGAUUCACGUGUAAGCAGUGAGGUGGUCAUGUAGGCAAAUCCGCAUGGCAUAACAUUGAGCUGUGAUGCCGAAGCCGUAUGGCGAAGUCAACUGAUGUCACGCUUCCAAGAAAAGCUUCUAGGGUUAAUUUAGUAAGUGCCCGUACCGAUAACCGACACAGGUAGGCGAGGAGAGAAUCCUAAGAUGAGCGAGAGAACUCUUGUUAAGGAACUCGGCAAAAUGACCCCGUAACUUCGGGAGAAGGGGUGCUUGUGAAAGCAAGCCGCAGUGAAUAGGCCCAGGCGACUGUUUAUCAAAAACACAGGUCUCUGCUAAACCGCAAGGUGAUGUAUAGGGGCUGACGCCUGCCCGGUGCUGGAAGGUUAAGAGGAGAGGUUAGCGCAAGCGAAGCUUUGAAUUGAAGCCCCAGUAAACGGCGGCCGUAACUAUAACGGUCCUAAGGUAGCGAAAUUCCUUGUCGGGUAAGUUCCGACCCGCACGAAAGGCGUAACGAUCUGGGCGCUGUCUCAACAAGAGACUCGGUGAAAUCAUAGUACCUGUGAAGAUGCAGGUUACCCGCGACAGGACGGAAAGACCCCGUGGAGCUUUACUGUAGCUUGAUAUUGAGCACUGGUGACACAUGUACAGGAUAGGUAGGAGACGAAGAAGCCAGGACGCCAGUCUUGGUGGAGUCGCUGUUGGGAUACUACCCUUGUGUUACUGGGGUUCUAACCCGUGGCCAUGAUCUGGUCAGGGAACAGUGUCAGGUGGGCAGUUUGACUGGGGCGGUCGCCUCCCAAAGAGUAACGGAGGCGCCCAAAGGUUCCCUCAGAAUGGUUGGAAAUCAUUCGAAGAGUGUAAAGGCAGAAGGGAGCUUGACUGCGAGACCUACAAGUCGAGCAGGGACGAAAGUCGGGCUUAGUGAUCCGGCGGUACCGAAUGGAAGGGCCGUCGCUCAACGGAUAAAAGCUACCCCGGGGAUAACAGGCUGAUCUCCCCCAAGAGUUCA
rnacentral:rRNA from 1 species